GUGGUUUGCAAUGAUUAUAAAAAAUUCCUCAUUCUGAAAGUUAUUGCCAUGGCAUGAGAGACACAUUUACACCCAUAGAAUAUGAGCACC